rnacentral:rRNA from 1 species
UCAUUAUAAUGAAGCCCAACCACACACCUCACGGUGGUGGUACAUCGCAACAACUUCUGCCCUAUCAGCUUUGGAUGGUAGUGUAGUGGACUACCAUGGCUUUUACGGGUGACGGGGAAUUAGGGUUCGAUUCCGGAGAGGGAGCCUGAGAAACGGCUACCACUUCUAUGGAAGGCAGCAGGCGUGCAAAUUACCCAAUCCCAAUGCGGGGAGGUAGUGACAAGAAAUAGCAAUACCGAAUUCCUACGGAGUUUGGUAAUUGCAAUGAGUGUAUAACAAAAUCCUUAACGAGGAUCAAUUGGAGGGAAAGUCUGGUGCCAGCAGCCGCGGUAAUACCAGCUCCAAAAGUGUAUAUUAUCGUUGCUGCAGUUAAAAAGCUCGUAGUCGAAUAUCUGACCUGUCAAAUUCCGGCCACGCCGUCAAACGUGUGGGUUUGGAACUAUUUGCGGGUCAUCAUUUUGGAAAGAACUUCUGCCCUUGAUUGGGUUGGUUGUUUGAUCCAAAUUGUUUACUGUGAGCAAAUGGGAGCGUUCAAAGCAGGUUUACCUGCCUGAACCGUUUAGCAUGGAAUAAUGAAAUAUGACUUCGGUUUUAUUUCAUUAGCUUAAAAACCAAAGUAAUGAUCUAUAGGGAUAGUUGGGGGUGCUCAUAUUCAGGGGGUAGCGGUGAAAUGCGAUGAUCCUCUGAAGAUGAACUAAUGCGAAAGCAUUCACCAAGGAUAUCUUCUUUGAUCAAGAUCGAAAGUUGGGGGAUCGAAGACGAUCAGAUACCGUCGUAGUCUCAACCAUAAACGAUGCCAACUAGGGAUUGGCGGUUGUUCGGUUGACAUGGCCUCGUCAGCACCUUCAGAGAAAUCAAAGUCUCUAGGUUCUGGGGGGAGUAUGGUCGCAAGGCUGAAACUUAAAGGAAUUGACGGAAGGGCACCACCAGGGGUGGAGCCUGCGGCUUAAUUUGACCCAACACGGGGAAGCUUACCAGGUCCAGACAUAGUAAGGAUUGACAGACUGAAGCUCUUUCUUGAUUCUAUGGGUAGUGGUGCAUGGCCGUUCUUAGUUGGUGGAGUGAUUUGUCUGGUUAAUUCCGAUAACGAGCGAGACCUCAACGUGCUAAUUAGAAGUAAGAAUUCUUUGAAUUCUUUACAGCUUCUUAGAGGGACUAUCGGUUUGUCAGCCGAUGGAAGAUUGAGGCAAUAACAGGUCUGUGAUGCCCUUAGAUGUUCUGGGCUGCACGCGUGCUACAAUGAUGCAUUCAACAAGUUUUUUCCUUCGCUGAAAGGCAUGGGUAAACUUU